rnacentral:rRNA from 1 species
GACGAACGCUGGCGGCGUGCUUAACACAUGCAAGUCGAACGGUGAAGCGCCUUCCUUUUUGGUUGGUGUGGAUGAGUGGCGAACGGGUGAGUAACACGUGAGUAACCUGCCCCCUUCUUCUGGAUAACCGCAUGAAAGUGUGGCUAAUACGGGAUAUUCUGGGUCUGUCGCAUGAUGGGUCUGGGAAAGAUAUUGUUUCGGUGGGGGAUGGGCUCGCGGCCUAUCAGCUUGUUGGUGGGGUGAUGGCCUACCAAGGCGGUGACGGGUAGCCGGCCUGGGAGGGUGGGCGGUCACACUGGGACUGAGACGCGGCCCAGACUCCUACGGGAGGCAGCAGUGGGGAAUAUUGCACGAUGGGCGCAAGCCUGAUGCAGCGACGCCGCGUGAGGGAUGGAGGCCUGCGGGUUGUGAACCUCUUUCGCCAGUGAAGCAGGCCUGCCUCGUUUGUGGGUGGGUUGACGGUAGCUGGAGAAGAAGCGCCGGCUAACUACGUG